CCUACGGGUGGCUGCAGUGGGGAAUAUUGGACAAUGGGGGGAACCCUGAUCCAGCGACGCCGCGUGAGUGAAGAAGUAUUUCGGUAUGUAAAACUCUAUCAGCAGGGAAGAAAAUGACGGUACCUGACUAAGAAGCCCCGGCUACUAAGGGUCCGCAGCCGCCGAAAAACGUAGGGGGCCAGCGGUAAUCGGAUUUACUGGGUGGAAAGGGAGCGUAGACGGUGCAACAAGGUUGAUGUGAAAGGUUGGGGCCCAACCCCGGGACUGCAUUGGAAACUGUUGAACUGGAGUACAGGAGAGGUAAGCGGAAUUCCUAGGGUAGCGGUGAAAUGCGUAGAUAUUAGGAGGAACACCAGUGGCGAAGGCGGCUUACUGGACUGUAACUGACGUUGAGGCUCGAAAGCGUGGGGAGCAAACAGGAUUAGAUACCCCUGUAGUC
rnacentral:rRNA from 1 species